GGAUUAGGUUUAUUAGCCUUUGACCAAUAGCAAAGUGGGAGUGUUAAAGUAAAUGGAGGAUAAGUUAGAAGGUAAAAGAUAUUAUCUUAGAUAAGUUGCUAAUGGUCAAAGGGCAACAAAAUGAUGAAGAAAAGUUACCAAGGUGGUGGCUAGGGUUAUAGGUGGCGGCUAGGGUUUAAAGUGGCGGCUAAGUUAAGAGGAUUC
rnacentral:lncRNA from 1 species